rnacentral:rRNA from 2 species
AUUCCGGUUGAUCCUGCCGGAGGCCAUUGCUAUCGGAGUUCGACUUAGCCAUGCUAGUCGCGCGGGUUUAGACCCGCGGCAAAUAGCUCAGUAACACGUGGCCAAACUGCCCUACAGAUCGGAAUAACCUCGGGAAACUGAGGCUAAUGCCGAAUAGGACUUUCAGGUUGGAGUGCCGAGAGUUCGAAACGCUACGGCGCUGUAGGAUGUGGCUGCGGCCGAUUAGGUAGACGGUGGGGUAACGGCCCACCGUGCCGAUAAUCGGUACAGGUUGUGAGAGCAAGAGCCUGGAGACGGAAUCUGAGACAAGAUUCCGGGCCCUACGGGGCGCAGCAGGCGCGAAACCUUUACACUGCACGACAGUGCGAUAGGGGAACUCCGAGUGCGAGGGCAUAGAGCCCUCGCUUUUCCACACCGUAAGGUGGUGCGGGAACAAGUGCUGGGCAAGACCGGUGCCAGCCGCCGCGGUAAUACCGGCAGCACAAGUGAUGGCCGAUUUUAUUGGGCCUAAAGCGUCCGUAGCUGGCCGUGCAAGUCUGUCGGGAAAUCCAGUGGCUCAACCUCUGGGCUUCCGGCGGAAACUGCUCGGCUUGGGACCGGAAGACUCGAGGGGUACGUUCGGGGUAGGAGUGAAAUCCUGUAAUCCUGAACGGACCACCGAUGGCGAAAGCACCUCGAGAGCACGGAUCCGACAGUGAGGGACGAAAGCUAGGGUCUCGAACCGGAUUAGAUACCCGGGUAGUCCUAGCUGUUAACGAUGCCCGCUCGGUUCGGCGCAGGCUACGAGCCUGUGCCGCGCCUCAGUGAAGACGUAAGCGGGCCGCCUGGGAAGUACGUCCGCAAGGAUGAAACUUAAAGGAAUUGGCGGGGGAGCACUACAACCGGAGGAGCCUGCGGUUUAAUUGGACUCAACGCCGGACAUCUCACCAGCACCGACAACGGUAAUGAUGGUCAGGUUGAUGACCUUACCCGACGCCGUUGAGAGGAGGUGCAUGGCCGCCGUCAGCUCGUACCGUGAGGCAUCCUGUUAAGUCAGGCAACGAGCGAGACCCGCGUCCGUAAUUGCCAGCAGCACCCUUGUGGUGGCUGGGUACAUUACGGAGACUGCCACGGCUAACGUGGAGGAAGGAACGGGCAACGGUAGGUCAGCAUGCCCCGAAUGUGCUGGGCAACACGCGGGCUACAAUGGCCUGGACAGUGGGUUGCAACACCGAGAGGUGGCGCUAAUCCCCUAAACCGGGUCGUAGUUCGGAUUGAGGACUGAAACUCGUCCUCAUGAAGCUGGAUUCGGUAGUAAUCGCGUGUCAGAAGCGCGCGGUGAAUACGUCCCUGCUCCUUGCACACACCGCCCGUCAAAUCACCCGAGUGGGGUCCGGAUGAGGCCAUCAUGCGAUGGUCGAAUCUGGGCUCCGCAAGGGGGAUUAAGUCGUAACAAGGUAGCCGUAGAGGAAUCUGCGGCUGGAUCACCUCCU